ACCGGCUAAAGGAUAUGCUGCAAAGGCUCUUACAACCAGUCAGAUGUCCACCAGCUAAAGGAUAUGCUGCAAAGGCUCUUACAACCAGUCAGAUGUCCACCAGCUAAAGGAUAUGCUGCAAAGGCUCUUACAACCAUGUGAAAGGAGGAAAGGAAAUUAUCAGGGUUGUUACACAGAUAAAGGAAGAUGAAGAUAAACACAACAGCGAUGAUGGAGAUGAACAUGACAGCGAUGAUGGAGAUGAACGUGACAGCAAUGAUGAAGAUGAUCGUGACAGCGAUGAUGAAGAUGAACAUGACAGCGUUGAUGAAGAUGUUCGUGACAGCAACGAGGAAGAUGAGCAUGACAGCGAUGAUGAUGAUGAACAUGACGGCAAGGAUGAAGGUGAACAUGACAGCAACAAGGAAGAUGAAUAUGACAGCGAUGAGGAAGAGGUGCCAAGAGGGCCCACUUGUAAGCUUUCCAUUCCAAAUGGAAUAAGGAUGUUGGAGUUCACCAUCCCUCCCUUUAGCUUUUUAUCCGGUGCUUGAAGGAUG